AUAAACAUACAAAGGUGGUCUUGUCCCAAUAAUUGUCGUUGUACAACAAGAGUGCCUGCACGAGCCACACACAUGAGUGUUCCUUUUGCAUUCGCGCCUGCAGGCUGAUUCGAUCAUCACUUCGAAAUCUCCCAUUGACACAGUGCUAGCGCUUGCCCUAGCAGUAGCUUCUCUCCUGUGUCACACCUUCUUCCCUUUGUCGUGCUUCGCGCUCCUCAUCCCGAGAGGUUUGUGCAUUGUGUCGUCUUCUGCCUGAGCUCUCAUCCAUGUCGCUGAUGUAACUUGCGUUACCACUAACAAAGGUCUUUUCGAGGCAGAUAACGUGGUUGGCCAAUUUCGUAGAGUUCGUAAACCUUCACCUCACACUCAACAAUCUGACUCCACUUCAGCAGGGGUUAAGAGCAUUUGUUAACCGCAACUGGGUAUCCAUAGUAGAAAACAAGUUAGAAAGCUUGGAAGGAUUUGAAGGACUGAGUAAGCUCACUAGGGAUCACAUCAUCAACUUCGUUUGCUUAAGAUUAUUCGUAGUGCUUUUGUUAAGGUAUGACUCAUUUCACAAUCUCAACAAUUUUUUGGUUUUUUGUAAUUAAAUUAUUAGCAAGUGUGUGUGGUCCUUGGUUGGGGUUACAUUCUUAGCAUUUAGGAAAUUAUUAGACUGAACUUUUUUUCCCCAAAUUUUGUGUUUAACAUAACAUUUUAUAAUAUAUGAAACAGAAAUCAUGUUUCUCUGUUAAUGGUAUCAAAGGAUAGAGUACAUGCAUGGUAGUCAUUGAAAUCUAUGCUAUUUUGCAACAGAAAAAUUAUUCCAAACCCUUAAGCCUCUAGCCUCAACAUCAUGGUCAUCAUUUCUAGAAGCAUAUGAUGUUCUGUAUCUUCCACCAAAUUCUUCUUUGUUCCAGUAUCUAAUUCUUCCAAAUUUUUUUUUCUUUUGCCUCUUCAACUUCAUAUUCUUUAUCUGCUGCAUCCUCUAUCUCAACAAUGAAUCGAUCUAGCUCUUCGUGAUCACUAUCAGCUACUGUUCUUGCCUUAGCAAGGUGUGCUUGUGGAAACUGUGAGAGCACCAAAUUCACAGUGUUAAGAUCAGGCCUUGUUGGGAUGUCAUGGUUGGUGCCAACCUUAAUUAGAGAGUGAUAAAUGCCUAAGGGAUUUGAGAAGAGGUAAUGACUAAGGAGAGAAAAGAAAGAAAAAACUUGUUUCAACUUGUGACUUGUUCUAGGACCUUUAAUUUUGGUUAGUACGGUCGAUGAUUUGUAGAGGAGUAGGAGAAUCUUACAUUAAGAUAUAGCUAGAAGAAGAAAUAAAAAAGAUUGUAAGUCAAGUAGAUAGAAAGUUAUAUAGUACUACAAAUAAACCAAUCAACAAUUUCCUUGUAUUGUAUUCUACUGUAUUGCAUAUACGUUUGAUGUAUUUUAAAAAUAUAAAACCUAAAACUUCCACACACAAUAUCCCUCAUAAUUUGCACAUGCAAGAUCUCUUCUAUUAUAGUUUGGAACACAAAAUAUAAAACAGAACAGAGUGAUUUAGGUUUUUCCCUAAUGACAAGAUCGGAGACAACUAUUAGGCCAAAUAGGGCAAGCUGAUUGGACAAUGUAGCUACUAUAUAUAAGUUUUUGUAAUUUAGCACUGGUGUACUGUAUCAGUCAUAUCAUAAAGGUAUUCAUUUAGUGCAUAUUUGGAUACCAAGUAAAAUCGAUUUUACUCUAAAAAAUUAUGGUGAAUAACUGAAAAUGGAGAAGCAAGAAAUGGAGAAGCAACGUUACAUAUGAGUGAGAUAAAUGAAGGAAAGAGAGAGAAGAAUGCCAUGGAAGUUGUGUAUUAGAUGUAUACUAUAAAGUCAACAAAAAGUACUAAUAAAAUUGUGGAUGCUGAAAAUUCUAAGAAAAUUCUCACAGUGGAAAUAUCACUUUACAAAAAAUGUUAACAGCAAUGUAAAGAAGGUGGAAUACCUAAUGAUCUUAACAUUUUCUGAGAGUGCAGGGUUCAUUCAUGAGGUGUACUACGUGGAUAACACAGUUACAAAUUAGUAACCACUUCAUCAGUUAUAGUCAUGAAUGAAGUCAAUUUUUUGUUCAAGUUCCUACUUGAUUACCGUGUAGUGAGACAACUGCUACUUGCUAGCUAGAUGGAAGUGGUUCUACAUUGUUAACUAAAUUAAUCAUAUAGGGUGUGUUUGUUUUAACGUUUGUCCAUUUUCCAAUGCAGUUCAAUGUGACUAAUAAUUGGGAAAAAGGUUGGAUUGGCGUUGAACGGAGUUUUAGACGGAAAAACAAACAUAGCUAUAGUGAUAUGGUUCAACCAGAAAGAAAAAAACUUGAAAAAUCUUGUUAUUUAGUGACUGGUAAUGCUAGGCUGAGUGGUUUUUGUUCUCUUCAAAUUAGAGAAAUUAUUAGGUGGUCCUACACCAUAUAAUUUAGAUUAAUCUAUACAUGACAUGAAAUGAAACAUUGUUACUUUUUUCUUGUAAAUUGAAAAUUAUUAGGUGGUCCUACACCAUAUAAUUUAGAUUAAUCUAUACAUGACAUGUUCAUUGUCUAUUUUUUUAAAAAUUGUGGUAAGGGGUUAAUUAUGUUUUUAUUUGAAACUAGGGAUUGGGAGGGGGUAUACACCAACAACCUUGAUGACAAAGAUACUACACACUAAUGUAGGCCAUUUACAAACAUCUAUUUUAAUUACUAAGUUAACUCACGAAUUUACACUAGUUAAUUGAACUAGCAAAAUUUAUAGAAAACCUUUUUUAGAUUAGGAUGUUCUUUAUUUUAGACCUGGUGAGAAUCUUUCUAGCCUAAAUAGCAUUUCAAAGCCCCACUUGAAUUAGUGGAGUGGUGGUCCCCCAAGGUUGAGCUUGUGUUCUCUGUUCACGGUCUGGAGGAGUAUGAAACACGAUAUACACCAUAACAGCCUUAUUUAAGUGGGAACCAAAAUGAUGUUACUUACAAUCCUCAUCAAAUUCUUACUUGUUUCCAUCAUAAGAGGGAAGUAAAGAUAUUUAUUAUGAAAAAGUUAAUUAUAGUUUCAAAAUACUCAUUUAUAUACUAUUCGACAGUGGUAAAAGAUAAACUAUAAUUUUAGUCUCAAAAAAAGAUACAUGUGUUACUUAAAAAAAAUAGUUUUGAUAGGAUAAAACAUGGAUUUUGCAUUGAAGUGGGGGCUAAAACCAAAAACGUGGGUGUUUAAGUCCCCUAGUUUGAUGGAUCGAUCCUCGUUAGCAAUUUGAGAUGGAGGCAGUGGAGCAUAGCAGAGCAGGGCUAUUACUGUCCCCACAAUCCACCCAAAUAGACCUCAUUGCGCUAGAUAUUAACUCCUUCAUCUGGGCCACAAUGAGGUCCACCAGUGGGGGAGGAGGUGCAGCUUCUGGGAGUUGGACCCUGCUGUGGCUCCCACUGCACAAGCUACCCAUCAAGUAAUUCUUCUCUGAUACAUAACCAGUAAUUUCUAUUAGGGCAAUAUUGACAGAAUCAAAUACAAGCUUUUGAUUAGACCUCUUCUGCCUUCGCUUGGCCUGGUGGAGCUGUUGAGGCUCCGUGUCGUCGAGAUUGGCAUAUUUGUCCCUCAAUGAUGGAUCCAAUGGGCUUUUAAGGGAAUGUCAUCUUGCGUAAAAUGAGUCAGUUUGCACUUGAUCAUCAACUCCAGCAAUUGAUAGUAGUUUGUCAACAAAGACGAACCAGUCUUGAUCCUCUACCUUAGGGUCUAAGGAUGCCAAUGAGGGCUUCAAAGGGUAUGGACUUGCCACCUCUGCACAAGAAUCGUCCCAUGAGAGGGUCCGAGCUAUUGAUUCUAUAGGUGGUCAUUUAUCAAUUAAAUUAGACUUUAGAGACAGUCGUGAUCCUACAAAAAAAAUUCACAAUCAGGUAAUAAAACAGUAAAGAACACAAGAAAUAUCAAAAAGGAACUUACUGAAAUAGCAAUGAUAAGGUGAGAGAAAUUGGACUGGGCUGACCUUGGUUUUCACUUGAAAUCCCAGGCACCAUGGGCUUUCACAGAGUCAAUCUAGGCUGUAAAAACAAAACACAACUCUCAGAAACCUCCAGUCUAUUUAUUUACCAAUUUUCUGUAAAGAUAUAACAUUUUACUUAUAUGAUCCUAGGACAUUUCGUAAUCUGCAAUAACAACAAAUCAAAUAGGUUGUACUGUGUUGUACUACUAAUGAUGACUGAGAAAAGCUAUUUCUAUUAUUUAUCAAGUAGCAAUUAGAAUCCAAUGACCUUCAUAACCAGGUAAAGUUUUCAUUUGUUUCACCAUUCCAGCAGUAGCAAAAAAUCCAAAACAAUUGCUCAACUAAAUAGAUUUUGCUUAAAUAGAAUCUACUACGACAUGAUCCAAUGACACGUAACAGUAAACCAUGCAUCCUCCAACUCAUGCAAGCAUAUCUAUAGUACCAUAAGUUUCAAGGGACUAAUUUUAUUAGUUAGGUAGAGAAGGCACAGACUAAGUUACAUGGAAAAAUAUUGGUACAGAUAAAAAAUAGGAAAGAGAAACAACAAUUUCCAUUCUUUCCCUUCCUUUGCAAGGGGAGAGAGACACAAGGGACUGAGAGGUGGUGGGAAAUUUAGAGGGCGUUAAUGAGUGACCUUAAGCCACUACGUUAAUCUCAUGUGUCUUCCCAGGGCUAGGCUUCAAUACCACUAUUCGAGUAGGUUGAACUGGAAACUUGUCAAUUUUUUGACUAGCUGGGAGUACGCAGGACUGUAUUUCUCCCAUCCAGCACCAACAUUUGCUGGUUUCUUAAUCCGUUUGUCAUUUUUCUUCCCCUUUCCACCAAAAUUUUCAUUGUCAACCAUCUUCGAAGUUCAUAAAGAUUUUGAGAAUCCAAUAACCUGACUAACAGAUCAUUAUUGGAACUUAAUCUAUUGUAUUGCCCUUUUAAAGUUGGAAACAAUGAACCUGAGCCAAUAUUGCAGGUCUUCUUCAAUUUCAAUUGAACUUUUUUGUUCUUUGUUGCAUGGUUUUCUGAAUAAGCUUGAUAUGAUGAUGAAAAAUGAGGCACUUCCAUGCCCUGCGAACAUAAGAUCAUGGAGGGAUAAAAAAUUAUGCUGACCAGCAAUGUUCCAUAUUGAAAUCCUUGUAUCCUCAUCCUUGAAAGAUUUUAUCUUCAUUCCUGCUGUCUUGACAGCCUGCUCCAUUGUGGUUAACUUUGUUCUGACUUGAUCGAAGUAGGAAAGUGAUGAAGCGGAGAAAUUUUGUGAUAUUGAAUGGCAAACUGUGGUUUUUCCUUAAAAAUAUGAAAUUAAACUAUUAACUAUGGUUCAAUCCUACUCAGGUAUUACAAUUAUAACCCAAACUUGUAACCUUCUUCAUUAAUCCAUGCAACAUUUAACAAUUUUCAACAUUCCUUAUGUGACAUAAAUCUCCUGCCAUAAAAGUAUGAACUGCUUGACAAGAAACUUAAGGAGGAGAAUAGCAAGCGUCAAUAUGAGGAAGAUUAAUUUACUGAAAAACCAACACUAAACGUCGACCCACCAUCCCCAGUGGUAAGACACUUGAAGUGGAAGAUCGCCCGCACAAAGCGGUAUAGCGAAAUGACGUCUGAAGUGGUACACCAAAUUGAAGACAAAAUUGAUUCAUUACAGGAACAAGCAACAUAGGGGAGUUUUGUUCUGCAUGGGCGAUAGGACAUACUGAACAUGGCCCUUGGCCGACCUGAGCAUCCAGGUCGUGUUCGCGUCGCAGGGACAAGUGUCACAAUAAGCCAAUACUUUGGCCAAGCCUCACGUGCUUCUAGAACAUCCUCACCAUCGAUCAGCCAACAACAGUUGGCUGAAAUCAUCGGUGGAAUUAAGGAUGAGAUAAGAAAGGAGGUACAAGAAGAACACAAGCAGCAGCAAGAGGCUUGGAUGAGGGCAGUUGAAGAAAAAUAGUGGCAAAAUAUGGAGAUAAUGAAGCAAGAGUUAAAGCAAGCACUGAAAAUAGAGUUAUCUCAUAUUGCAUCACACCGGUCAGCCCCCAUUGAGGUGCUAGAAAUACAAGCUCUACUUGCGCGUGUCAGCACAAAGGGUAGCUGUGCUGGACUUGACGGAAGUGGAUUACUUAAAGAGGUUUUGAAUGUUGAUGACGAUUUGAUGGGCUUGUUCGUAGUUAUUAGGGAAAAUACUGUGCUUGCGAGCUUGGGAAAAGUGUUUGAGAAUUCAUCCACCAUACACAAUGUUCGUUAUGCAAAUGACGUUGUUAAGGUGAAUGUUCAUCACACUGAGGUCCCUUUUCCUACAUCAGAGGUUCGGAUUCUUCAGCAGGCCAUUGGCACAUUCGUCGCAUGGCCAACACAUCUUGUGAGAAAAGUAACUAAUGAGGUGGUCGUGGGACCCGAUAAGCCUCCAUUGAACUUUGUUGGAGAGCCGAACAGGUUCACAUCUGUGGCCACAGAUGACCCGCUGGGAGAAUUGGUUAAGAAGUCGUAUGUGGUUUACACAAAGCCAAUGGAGUUGGCAUGGGACGAGGCAAAAUUUGGGUUACCUAAUUCCACAAAUGGUUUUUUCAUCACACAUGCAGAUGUGAUUGAAAUAAUUUUAGGUGACAAAUGUUUAAACAUAUCUAUACUGCAAUUGUGGAUGAUGUAAGUAAAUCAUAUUUUGUGAUGGUUGUCAUAUGGUAUUGUCCACUCCAUAUUUGUCUAAGAAUAUUGUUGAUUGUGUUUAAAACAAGUUUAUGAAUGAUUGGAGUACAAGCAUUGGUUUUGCUCUAGUGUAUGGUUUCCUUGAGCCCCAGUCUAUACGCUGCACAAAGGACACGCGUGAAGAAUGUCAACUGUAUAUAGAAACGUGGGUCAAGGAAUCACAUCGACAAGUCUACUUAGGACCUUACUUCAAUCAAUAAGUCUAUUCAUAUGGUUGUUAUCAAUGUGUUUGCAUUAGUUUGAUGGUGAAUUUCAUGUUGUUGACUUCAGGGCACAUUGGCAACUUCUUGUGUUAUGUCCAUGAGAGAACAUUGUAGUAUGGUUCUGUUCUGUAUGGAGAAAGCCUGAUGUUCACAUUAAGUUUGCAGUGAACAAUGCAAUGAAGAUAAUAUGCAGUAAUUUCCAAGGCAAGGACAAUGCACCUCCACCUCAAUGGAUUGAGGCUAAGAGCCAUGUACAACCCGGAGCAUAUGAGUGUGGAUAUUAUGUGAUGCAUUGGAUGUGGUGCAUCGUCAGCGGCGGUUUGAAAAAUGAACUCCACAACGUCAGCGUUCAACAUCUUCCUUCUUGGGUCCUUCACUCCGCCGCAACCUUCUUGUUAGCUCUUUGGCAAGUGUACCAAAUCGCUCGUAGUAAUAAUUUAUCGUUAUCACUUGUCAUACCUUGGUCCUUCACUCUGCCGCAACUCUACUUAUAUGAAACUGAAUUUGAACCAUCAAAGAAGCCUCUCCUUUUCUGGCUCAAUGGAGGACCCAGAUGCUCCUAUAUUGGGUACGGUGCAGUUGUUGAGAUUGGACCUCUUAUAGUCAACAAAAAUGGGGAAGGACUACAUUUCAACACACAACUCUAAUUAUCUUCAACUAAACUUCGAUGGGGUUGUCAAUAUUAAAAUAUCUAGCCGGUGCAUGAUCAAACUACCUUGUCCAAUUUUAUACAUUUCUUCAUCCACAACAUGCAGAACAUUCAGAAAAUUCUCAGAUAUCUACAAGUCUAAUUAAUAUGUAGCCAGCAUUAUAACUAUUAAGAAUGGGAUUUUUCUUUUGUAGCCAAAGAAAAAUUAAAUAUUGAAGUUAAUGAUCACUAAAACAAGAAAAGUAUGGGAGUUAGUAGUAGGAACUUACCUUCUUGGAAUUAUAAGUUUGCAUUCUAUCUCUAGCUUGUUGCAACAGUUCUGUACCUAAUUGAUCGACAAAAGUUGCUUUAAUAUAUUAAAUUUUAAUACCUGAAUGGAAACAGUUUCCCAUUUCUAAACUGUACAUACAAGGACAUCAUAUUUGUUUAAAUUUGAUAAAAGAAACAUAAGUUUAUUUGCAACUAAACAAUUUAUUAGAAUCCUUCUUUAUUAAUGAAGUCCAAAAAUGAUUGAAAAAUAUUUCUGGACAGGAUCAUAUGGGAAGAAUAAUAAGUCAUUCAUAUAUUUCUCAGUAUAAUUCCAUAUUAAAUAUAGAUUG